UACGUAGGGUGCAAGCGUUUGUCCGGAAUUAUUGGGCGUAAAGAGCUCGUAGGCGGUUUGUUGCGUCGGCUGUGAAAUCCCGAGGCUCAACCUCGGGUCUGCAGUCGAUACGAGCAAACUAGAGUGUUGCAGGGGAGACUGGAAUUCCUGGUGUAGCGGUGAAAUGCGCAGAUAUCAGGAGGAACACCGGUGGCGAAGGCGGGUCUCUGGGCCGAUACUGACGCUGAGGAGCGAAAGCCGUGGGGAGCGAACAGG
rnacentral:rRNA from 1 species